GCUGCCGUAGAGAGAGCACGUCUCGUCGCCGCGAGUUCGUACUUCGGAACGUUGAAGUGACCGUAUAAAAAAACCUUUUCUGUGAAUUUUCUUAGUGCUUCUGUACCGGAAAAUUUUACACAGAAAUAGAAAAAAAUCGUCGCAAGCGCAGACCAUCGAACUAAAAGACACAAAACAGUCAGCAGGACUCAAAACUGAAUGUGAUAUAAUUUAUUUAUUUAUUAUUAGUACGCAUUUAACUAACAAACGACAAUACUCAAAAGUCAAUUAACAGACUAUAAAAGGCGGGAAAGAGAAAAGAACACAGAUAACAAUUGCAAGGAGGUUAUAUGUUUGAAGGAUAAAUUUUAAUAUGAGAGACACCAUGAAGUCCUGCCAACACACACUGUCAAAC